rnacentral:rRNA from 1 species
UACGUAGGGUGCAAGCGUUGUCCGGAAUUAUUUGGGCGUAAAGAGCUCGUAGGCGGUCUGUCGCGUCGGCUGUGAAAACCUGGGGCUCAACUCCGGGCCUGCAGCCGAUACGGGCAGACUAGAAUUCGGUAGGGGAGACUGGAAUUCCUGGUGUAGCGGUGAAAUGCGCAGAUAUCAGGAGGAACACCGGUGGCGAAGGCGGGUCUCUGGGCCGAUACUGACGCUGAGGAGCGAAAGCGUGGGGGGAGCGAACAGG